rnacentral:rRNA from 1 species
UACGUAGGUCCCGAGCGUUGUCCGGAUUUAUUGGGCGUAAAGCGAGCGCAGGUGGUUUAUUAAGUCUGGUGUAAAAGGCAGUGGCUCAACCAUUGUAUGCAUUGGAAACUGGUAGACUUGAGUGCAGGAGAGGAGAGUGGAAUUCCAUGUGUAGCGGUGAAAUGCGUAAAUAUAUGGAGGAACACCGGUGGCGAAAGCGGCUCUCUGGCCUGUAACUGACACUGAGGCUCGAAAGCGUGGGGAGCAAACAGG